AGGUCAUCAACCCCAUGGGGUGGGAUGCGUUCGGACUGCCUGCCGAAAACGCCGCCAUUGAGAGGAACCUACAUCCAGACAGUUGGACGCAAAGUAACAUUAAGUACAUGCGGAAGCAGCUUGACCGCCUGGGCCUGUGUUUCAGCUGGGACAGGAAGAAAAAGAAGAAAAACAAAGUCCAAACUACACAGGAUUCAACUUAAUGCCUGUGGACUCUGCCAGAAGAGGUUUUAUUAGUGGUUUAUAAUGCUUGCU